UUGAAUUUUAAUGAAGAGUUUGGUUGUAGCUGGCCCAUUCAUUUGGGCAUGUGCACACCUUCCUCUUUCAUCCACACACACCUGUGAACCUGUGAGACAGAGAUGGGGAAUUUACUUGCUGCUUUUUGGAAUACAAAGGCAAUAGGUUAUUGGACCCCCCCUCUGUCUACUCAAUUAAUAUAAACUCAAUUUAUUUUAAAACGAAUGUAAUGGAUGUAACACAUCUCAUAC
rnacentral:misc_RNA from 1 species